ensembl:lncRNA
UGGGGAUCAUGGAGAGAAGUUGCAGAGGGGAUGGGGAGCUGGAUGUUACAGUCCUUUAGGGUGUUUUGACGUUUAACGCUGCAAUAUGUAUCUUUUUGGACCACCUGACCAAAUUCACAUAGAAAUGGGGCGUACCAGAGGUAGAGUGGUUGUGGAGGAGGAGGACAGCAGCAUGGACGGGACAGAGGCAGCCGCUUCAGAGAGCCCCCUCAGGACACAACAGGGUCUGAUUUGAGGAGAUGGGGGAGAUGAGCCCCUGGUUCCAGACAUCAGGAAAGCAGCCAGAAGUUACACUGAACAAAAAUGUAAACACAACAUGUAAAGUGUUGGUAUCAUGUUCUGUGAGCUGAAAUAAAAGAUCCUAGAAAUGUUUCAUACGCAC